UGGGGAAUAUUGGACAAUGGGGGGAACCCUGAUCCAGCAAUGCCGCGUGUGUGAAGAAGGCCUGCGGGUUGUAAAGCACUUUGGUUGGGGAGGAAAGGCGUGCAAUGAAUAAUUGCAUGAGAUGACGUUACCCAAAGAACAAGCACCGGCUAACUCUGUGCCAGCAGCCGCGGUAAUACAGAGGGUGCGAGCGUUAAUCGGAAUUACUGGGCGUAAAGGGCGCGUAGGCGGUUUAGUAAGUUAUGUGUGAAAACUCUGGGCUUAACCUGGGACGUGCACAUAAUACUGAUAAACUAGAGUAGAGUAGAGGAAAGUGGAAUUUCCGGUGUAGCGGUGAAAUGCGUAGAUAUCGGAAGGAACACCAGUGGCGAAGGCGGCUUUCUGGGCUCAUACUGACGCUGAGGCGCGAAAGCGUGGGGAGCAAACAGG
rnacentral:rRNA from 1 species